UACGAAGGGUGCUAGCGUUGCUCGGAUUGACUGGGCGUCAAGGGCGCGUAGGCGGUUCGUCCAGUCAGUCGUGAAAUUCCUGGGCUCAACCUGGGGGCUGCGUUUGAUACGUGCGGACUUGAGUGCGGAAGAGGGUCGUGGAAUUCCCAGUGUAGAGGUGAAAUUCGUAGAUAUUGGGAAGAACACCGGUGGCGAAGGCGGCGACCUGGUCCGAUACUGACGCUGAGGCGCGAAAGCGUGGGGAGCAAACAGG
rnacentral:rRNA from 1 species